rnacentral:rRNA from 1 species
UCUUUGUAUAUUAUAAAUAAAGAGUGGGGCCUGCUCGGUGAAUAAUUUUUUUAACAGCUGCGGUAUUUUAACUGUACUAAGGUAGCAUAAUAAUUUGCCUUAUAAUUUGAGGCUAGAAUGAAUGGUUUGACGAAGGUUAAGCUGUCUCCAUCUUAUUUUUUAGAAUUUAAUUUUUUAUAGUGAAAAAGCUUAAAUUUUUUAAAGGGACGAGAAGACCCUAAUGAGCUUAUAAUUUUAUUAUUGUCAUUUAAUAUAUUUGAAUGGGGUAUAUAAAUUUUAAUUGGGGUGAUUAAGGAAUAAAAUUAUGAGUAAUAACUUCCUUAAGUUAAUUAUUUAUAGAUUAAGUAACCAAUAAUAUAUUGCUUAUAAUAYAGUUACCAUAGGGAUAACAGCGUAAUUUGUUUAGAGAGUUCUUAUUGAAAAACAAGAUUGCGACCUCGAUGUUGGAUUAAAGUAACCUUAAGGUGCAGAAGCUUUAAUAGGUAAAUCUGUUCGAUUUUUAAUACUUUAC